rnacentral:rRNA from 1 species
GAACGCUGGCGGCGUGCCUAAUACAUGCAAGUCGAGCGGAUCUUUAGAAGCUUGCUUCUAAAGAUUAGCGGCGGACGGGUGAGUAACACGUGGGCAACCUGCCUGUAAGACUGGGAUAACUUCGGGAAACCGAGGCUAAUACCGGAUAAUCCUUUUUCUCACAUGAGAGAAAGCUGAAAGACGGCGCAAGCUGUCACUUACAGAUGGGCCCGCGGCGCAUUAGCUAGUUGGUGAGGUAACGGCUCACCAAGGCAACGAUGCGUAGCCGACCUGAGAGGGUGAUCGGCCACACUGGGACUGAGACACGGCCCAGACUCCUACGGGAGGCAGCAGUAGGGAAUCUUCCGCAAUGGACGAAAGUCUGACGGAGCAACGCCGCGUGAGUGAUGAAGG